GGAUGUGGUUUGUCAGUGAGGUUCAUUAGCAAAUGUUUGGGUUUUACCAAAUACUUUUAAUCCGUUAAUGGUUUAAAAUUGAAAUUGUGUUAUAGGCUUAUAUCUCAGGCAAACUUAAGGUGGAACCUAACACUACAGGGAGAUAACUCUGUAAAGUCAGCUAAACGUUUUAAUUACGUUGUGUUGUAAAAGGAAUAUUAAGCUUCUUAAUGAUCAAAAUUGGUUUUUGUCAAAGUGCUAUAUAACCAGUGUAAUUUUUCUGAC
rnacentral:lncRNA from 1 species